AUUGAACGCUGGCGGCAGGCCUAACACAUGCAAGUCGAACGGUAGCACAGAGAGCUUGCUCUCGGGUGACGAGUGGCGGACGGGUGAGUAAUGUCUGGGAAACUGCCCGAUGGAGGGGGAUAACUACUGGAAACGGUAGCUAAUACCGCAUAAUGUCGCAAGACCAAAGAGGGGGACCUUCGGGCCUCUUGCCAUCGGAUGUGCCCAGAUGGGAUUAGCUUGUAGGUGAGGUAACGGCUCACCUAGGCGACGAUCCCUAGCUGGUCUGAGAGGAUGACCAGCCACACUGGAACUGAGACACGGUCCAGACUCCUACGGGAGGCAGCAGUGGGGAAUAUUGCACAAUGGGCGCAAGCCUGAUGCAGCCAUGCCGCGUGUAUGAAGAAGGCCUUCGGGUUGUAAAGUACUUUCAGCGGGGAGGAAGGGAGUGAGGUUAAUAACCUUAUUCAUUGACGUUACCCGCAGAAGAAGCACCGGCUAACUCCGUGCCAGCAGCCGCGGUAAUACGGAGGGUGCAAGCGUUAAUCGGAAUUACUGGGCGUAAAGCGCACGCAGGCGGUCUGUCAAGUCGGAUGUGAAAUCCCCGGGCUCAACCUGGGAACUGCAUUCGAAACUGGCAGGCUGGAGUCUUGUAGAGGGGGGUAGAAUUCCAGGUGUAGCGGUGAAAUGCGUAGAGAUCUGGAGGAAUACCGGUGGCGAAGGCGGCCCCCUGGACAAAGACUGACGCUCAGGUGCGAAAGCGUGGGGAGCAAACAGGAUUAGAUACCCUGGUAGUCCACGCUGUAAACGAUGUCGACUUGGAGGUUGUUCCCUUGAGGAGUGGCUUCCGGAGCUAACGCGUUAAGUCGACCGCCUGGGGAGUACGGCCGCAAGGUUAAAACUCAAAUGAAUUGACGGGGGCCCGCACAAGCGGUGGAGCAUGUGGUUUAAUUCGAUGCAACGCGAAGAACCUUACCUACUCUUGACAUCCAGAGAACUUAGCAGAGAUGCUUUGGUGCCUUCGGGAACUCUGAGACAGGUGCUGCAUGGCUGUCGUCAGCUCGUGUUGUGAAAUGUUGGGUUAAGUCCCGCAACGAGCGCAACCCUUAUCCUUUGUUGCCAGCGGUCCGGCCGGGAACUCAAAGGAGACUGCCAGUGAUAAACUGGAGGAAGGUGGGGAUGACGUCAAGUCAUCAUGACCCUUACGAGUAGGGCUACGCACGUGCUACAAUGGCAUAUACAAAGAGAAGCGACCUCGCGAGAGCAAGCGGACCUCAUAAAGUAUGUCGUAGUCCGGAUUGGAGUCUGCAACUCGACUCCAUGAAGUCGGAAUCGCUAGUAAUCGUGGAUCAGAAUGCCACGGUGAAUACGUUCCCGGGCCU
rnacentral:rRNA from 1 species